UUGGCCCUGCGCCUUGCGAACGCCCAAGUUCCACUUGGGACCCUUAUGUAGCAAGCGCGGGGCCGU
rnacentral:sRNA from 15 species